GCAGCGUCUCCAGCGCCACUUCCACUUAUCACAUCUUGAAUCGACCAACUGAAGCUUCCUUGACCCGUACGUAACCAUGAAUCAGCUUGCCCCUCUCUCGGACAAGCCCACUCGCUAUUGUCUUCCACUUCGUUGAAUCCGACAAGGGAAAGCGAAUAGAUUACCUAAUUCUAACACCACAAGUUGCCGCCCAGUAUGAAAGCCACUGAGCACAACGACAUAUCUCGCGGGUUCAGCUGAUGGAUGGAAUACUGCGGCCAAAAGACGCAUGGUUAGAACAAGUCACACACACAUGCUUUCAGUAGUACGUACGUACUAUCAUCACACACACCCUUUUCCAUCUUAUAAGCAUUUAUCAUCAUGUAUUGUUUGUUCUACAUCAUCACCUUGUAGAACCAUGAGAGAAAGAAACCCCUCCCCCUCCCCCAACUAUAUAUUGCUAAAACCCGCAGUAAUAACCACACAUUAGCUUAAAACUAUACCCAAAUCCCAGAAAAGAAAACCAUAUUUGGGUGAAGGUGGGAGAUGAGGAGGAUAGAGAAGAGGAACGGCCCACCCUCUUCAGUGCUGCCCUUCGCUUAACACUCUCAAAGAAACGAAGACACUAUCGAGCUCACUUUGCGGCCAUCACAUUACGGAGCAACCGUUGGGAUUCUCGUCGCUGAAGAUGGUGCAUGGCUCCCCAGGGGGAGGAGGCGGUGGCACGUACACCGGCCGACCGUAGCUGUAGCCCAUGGGAGGGAAUGCAGGACGGUCUUGGCCGUUCAUCAUCAUCAUCCUCUGCUGCUGCAUCAGUGCUUGCAGGUACUGUUGCUGGUAUGGAUUUGCGCCUGCCAUCAUCAUCUCCGGCGGCACCAUCCCACCCUGGAAGUAGCCGGGCGGUGCGCCGUCUCCAACCGGACGGCCUUGGACAGCCGGAAAACUCCCCAUGUGACCCAUGGCUGGUUGCGUGUGACCCAUCGGACCCAUCAUGUUAGGUUGGCCCAUUGGAAGGCCCCCCCCUCCUCCCGCACCAUUAUUGCUCCCACCACCACCACCACCACCCUUAUUGCCCCCAUGGGAUGGAUUGCCAUGAUUAGCAUGAUUCCCGGCAGUGCAAUUGCCACCCUUGUUUUUAUUUCCCCCUCCAUUCUUGCUGUCAUGGGCCCCAUCACCAUUCUUACCACCACCGCCACCACCUGUUUUCCCUCCCCCACCAUUGAUGUUGCUGCCACCACCCACAGCCUUGUUUGGUACUUGAACCUCUCCUCCCUUACCACCACCACCACCACCACCACCACCAUGACCAUUGCCUUUCUUAUCUUUUCCCGUACCAUUUCCAAUCGGUUGGAAGUUCAUGGGCUUCAUCAUCUUGGGGUCAUCGUACAUGUCCUCAUCAUCGAACCCAUCCAGGUCGUCCAAGUCCUCGUCGUCGAACUCAUCGUAGUCAUCACUGUAGUCACCUUCAUCAUCAAUCUCUUCCUCGGGAGGAAGGUCGAACUUGAUAGUUUUGCUCUCCUUCUUGAACGGCAACUUCAGGUCCUUGAGAUUUGGAAACUUGAGAUCUUUGAACCCUUUUGCCUGUUGCUGCUGCGGCUGUGGCUGCUGCCACUUGUGGUCCUUGCCUCCUCCUCCUCCGCCACCACCACCACCACCACCACCACCACCGCCACCUCCACCGCCACCACCUUUUUUGGUCUUUCCAUUCUCCUUCUGUUGUCCUUUGGCUUGCUCGAACUGGAGCUUUUGGAGCUGGUUGGCGAGGUUCUGCUGGUUUCCACCCUUUGUAGGCCACAGCUCCGCAUGUUUGCCAACCUUGCUAAGCUUUUUGAUCAGGAUGGCAGGAUCCACAUUCCCAGUGACGAUCACCUUCCUCUCCUCUGCAUCUAUAGUGGUAGUGUAGACCCCUGAACUCCCCCAAAUAAAAAUUUCCAUGAAGCAUUUGGUGAUUAUUGCACGAAAAAUCGAAACCCAUAGAUCUGACGAGAAUAACGUUCUGAUGUACAUACAGAAUGAAAAAAAGUGUCACAAUAAGAAACAGAAAUGACAUAUACCAUCGAUCUUAUGAAGCACUUUCUUCACUUUCUUCUGGCAUCCGUCACAACAUAUGUUCACCUUCAGUACGCAUGCCUGCAAAUGAAGCAAGAAACCAAAAUUCAGAAUCAAAUACAGCCGAACAUCACAAAGCAUUACGAUUAAAGAAGAAGAAGAAGAAGAAGAAGCAAAGUAAAGAAAGAGACGAGCAUGGGUUAAUUUACCUGUAUUUUGAGGAACUUGCUGUCUUCUUCUUUACUCAUCCUUUCCACCCUGCCAAGCAACGCCUUUGAGAUCCGAGAGAACAAGGACAAGGGCAACAGGCGGAAGCCACUGUCUGCUUGAUGGAUUCCCCGGUGACUUUAAAACCCACGAGGAGACGGUCCGGUGUUAUAUAUUAUUUUAUUCUGCACAGUGACAGCAUGGUCGGUCCCAAUAAUGUGCGCUCACCGAGAAUGACCUUAACUCUGGCUUGUUAUAUUUUCUUUUACGAGCCUUUUCGCUUUCACCAUCUUCCAGCCAUCACCACCACGUACGUGCUUUUGCAGCGAGUGAAGUCUUCCUUCUUUUUUUCCUUUCACCUUGGAGUUCAAAUCUUUGGUUUUACCCAGCUGGAUCCGUCGAGAAGAGAGCCACCUCCCUCCCCUCCGCAGCGUAGCUCGUCUCAGGAGAGUGGUGACCGCUGCAGGCCCACCGUAAGGAACACCUGAUUCAAUAAAUGAUGGCGAGCUGCGCGCAGACGAGUGGAGCGCUGAAUCCUUGUCAGAGGAGCCCGUCGGAAUUUAGUGAAAGAUCGGCACCAGCCGCGGUAAGAAACAUCUGAUUCAAUAAAUAAUGGCAAAACAAACACGGAAAGAGGAGCCCCCUGAUUCAAUGAAAGCAAGCAUUAAUGGAUGCCACUGUUCUGACACACAUCCUCGUGCUUCGUAAAUUUCACGAACCAUCCCACUCCCCUCUGCUAGUGGGGUCAACUGUGACCACCACCACCCCCCCUCCUCCUCCUCCUCCUGUUCAUUCAUGCUCAUCGGUUUGGUGUGAUGCACCAGGAAGAAGAAGAGGACAAUGAAUAGACAGUGAUCGAUCACCACAUUGAUCAUAUCAGGUGAUGCAAAACUUGUUCCGACAACUGACCGAUGCUUUGACACAAUUCAUUUCAUCGAACGAUGGCCGAAUGGUUGCUUACAGUAGGGAAGCUACCUGAGGUUUCAUGGAUAACCGAGCCAACUCUGUUGUGUGGACACUCUCACCGGAAAAAAAUCUCUGAGGAACUCUUGGGGUUUGUACUGUUCGUGUUGGUUUGCAAACCAGACAAAUCUCUGAGUUAAUGCACACACGCCACGCCAAGAAAUCGCAGAUGUGAGUGCUGUUUCCAGAUGCGCCGGAAUCAUAGACGCAAACACCGAGGCGAGUGCACCAAUAUUCCCCUCUACGGAACGACAGUGAUUACUCUGAAAAUUUACGGAUCAACUGAGAACAACGCUGAAAUGCUCAAAUGCAAGAUCAUGACGGGUUGAGAUUGAAUGAUUAAGUAUUUUAGGAUAUCUGCACUCAGUAUCCUCGAUCAAUUAUUAAGAUUCUUAAUAGGAGAAGAAGUCAUGAAAUGAAAUUUUAUAAAUUAAGAUUUGAUUCUUUUUAUAAAUAUUUUCACAUAUUUUUUUAAUUUUUAUUUUAUAGAUUAACAUAUGAAAAUUAUUUUAGGUAUUUUGGGUUAUCCGAAAUUAUUAUUUUCAAGAUUUUUGUAAGACUUUUUGGAGGCCUACGAAUCUUAUUAACUAUCUAUAUGAGAUUGUUUUUGGUUCGUAAGUCCUAAUAUAAUAUUCUAAUUCUAGUUCUUUCAUCCCGAUAAGGAUGUCUUUUUCGCCUUCCACAUAGAUUACGUUGGAAAGUCUCAAAGCUAAUAAUAGUUAAGCUUCAUAAGAUUUUUUCUUAAGAUUUAUGCUUGAAUAUAAAUAACUCAAGAAUCUUAUAAUUAAUUUCACAUAAUAUAAAAUUUAAUUUCUUUAAGGAUGCAGAUAGGGAGUUACUAGGCCAUGUUAAAUUUAUUUUCACUUUUUAAUAGUCUUUUCUCCCUUCCAAUAAUUGGAAUUAGAGUUUAAAAAAAAUCGAUUAUCGAGAUUCAAUAAGAAUGAGUGAUAAAUAUUAAAAAGAAAAUGAAGUAAAGGUAUUUUCUCUUUGUAAUAGUACACAAAAUAUUACUAAAAGAGAUUAUUGCGAUUAGUAUAUAUUUUAGAAUUUAUAUCUCAUGAGGAUCACAUAUUUCUAGUACGAGAAUGAGUCGUUGUGAAAAAAAAAAUCAUGAAAAUUAAGAUUUAAUUUUUUUUAUAAAUAUUUGAUAUAUAUCUAGGUUUUAAUUUGAAGGUAACAAGAUAUGAGAAAUAUUUUGGAUGUUCGAAGGUUAUCCUAAGAGUUUCCAGAAAGAAUUAUCCUCUAUAAUUUUAUUCUUUUUUAGAUUUAUAUGAGAGUGUAUAUUACGAGAAUUCUAAUCGAGUGAUUGACAACUCAAGCGUCUUGUAAUCGAUCAAUAAUUUUCUUGUGGAUGAAAAUUAUCGAAUCAUAAUAUUAUGAUUGUUCCCUGUUAUUUGUUUUAAUUUGUUUUAAAAUUUCUCUCCCUCCCAACACCGUUGGACAUCUUCUUUGACCUUUUUUUCUACCCUGUCAAGUCUCUUAAAAUAUUCUCUUGAUGAUAUUUCAGGACGUCACAAUCGACAACACAAUAAAUCGAGUACAUAACACAAUCAUUUCUUCUCGAUGGUAAAAGCAUACCACCCCGAUGAGACUUCGGUUUCCUUUGUGCUUCGUGGGAUUUAUAAUAGAUUCGAUGCAAUCUUGCAUCCAACAAUGGAUAAUGACAACACCCUCUUUUUUUUUUGUUGCUUAUAUUCACAAAAAGAAUACAGAAAUUUUCUUUGUGAUGUAUAUUUACUUAAGAAAAAUAAAAGACUUCAUCUUUCUUAGGUAGAACAUAACAUGGUGCCGUCUUUUGUUUGGUAUCAUCCAUCCAUGGGCGAAAUGAGUACAACCUAAGCAAAAAGAAAGAUGCUUUGGCAUGUCCGACCAUAGUGAAUUGGGGUCCAAUAACAACAUGGACUGGUCGUGCCGGUUUGGCCCACACUCUUACCUGCCGACCUUAAAUCUCGGAUGAUGCCCAAAAAUCUUUCUCUCUCUCUCUCUCUCUCUCUCUCUCUCUUCAUUUUGGAUAGGGUUUGAUGGUACAUUGUGAAGGUUGUUGCUAUGACUUUACCAUGGGAAAGGGUUUGAUUAGAGUUGGUUUUUCAUUGAUGAGAAAGAAUUGGCAUCCUUUUGCUUUGUUUCUCACACAUCUCCUCCCUCCUCUUCUUUCUCCUCUCAUUAUCAUCAUCAUUCCUCUCCCUCUUUCUCUUUGCUAUGCCGACGCACCUCAUGUCAAAUCAAUACAAGUAGGUGUAUAUGGAUGGAUACUUGGCACCUUGAUUCGAUCGAUACCUCAUGUCAAAUCACUCGAUUAAUCACUAAAAUUGUUAAAUGUAACUCCCAAGCUUUCUCUCCAUAUCAGCCUAAACUUGUUUAUUAGAAAAAAGAACAAAGAAAGAAAAUAUGAUCUUAGGUAUCAAUCUUUAUCGCAUUAAAAACAAUAGCAGACAAAACAAAUGUGAAUUUUAGUUAGUCUAUGUCUAUGGGUGGUAUGGAAUCAGUGAGGAAUAAUAACUUUUUUUUUUUUAAUUUAGUUGACUCUUAUACAAUCCUCUUGUCACCUCUUUUAUAAAGGCCUUUCAAACCUUAAAAACUUAUAUAUCAUUUUGAUGAAUAAUCUUUCUUUAUAUUUAUAUUUCUAAAUUAUUUUAUCAUCACCAGAUACAAGGGAGGGAGGGAUAGAUUUAUAUAUUGACCCCCCCUCGAGGAGAGUAACUUAUUUCAACCUUUACGAGUCAUGUCUCGCUCAUUUGUAAAAUGGUCGUGGCCUCAAAUACGGUCACGACCAAUUAAUCAAUGGUGUUGCUCUCGCUCCAACCUGCUCAACCUCAAGACAAGGUUCCGAAACUUCCUGGUGGAUUAUAUUAGGUUGACCAGCCACCCUCUCCAUGAAAAAACAAAGAAAAAAAUAUUUUUUCCAUCCUUUAUUGAAAGAAUGUGCUCUUGCGACUCUUGCAAUCAGGUUGGAUAGAAAAAAAGUAAUCCAAAUCUCUAAAUCUCACCUUGAAAUAUGCCUGUAGCAAGUUCUAUGAUAGGAAAAUGUCAAGCCUUCAACACUCCCUAAGACAUGCAACCAGGUGAUGCUAGGAGUUUGGCACCACUUAGACAAGAGAAAAUUUUUAAAAAUCAAGGAUUUCGACAAAGAAAGGAUGGAAAGGACAUCUAAGCCCUACCUCUAAGGCAUCAAAAGAAGUAUAGAAGAAGUGUUGUGAAGCAUAGGGUCAAUCAUCAGGCUAGGCCGAGGGACAAUUAGCUCAAAUUCAAUAUGAACAUUGAAAGCCUCCUUUAUAUAUUCAAGAUGUUAUUUGAAAUCCAAGAGUUAGUAGUUAUAAGAUCUUAACACAAUCUAUAAUAUCUAAUUAUAAAAGGGACUCACCAAUGAGGGGACUCGCCUCAUCGUUUGUUACUUUAAUUAAUUGGCUAUGUUGUGACAGACUAUUGGACAUGCACGAGCACCACAAUCAUUAUGAUCGUUUGAUUCUCGAUGACAUACGCAAGCCACACAUGGAUGCUUAAGCGAGUACUACAUUGUCAUCGUAUUAGUCUAUCAUUAUAAGGAUUAGGUUUUUUAUGGAUUCGACGAGUAGUCAAAUCGAUGUGACCAUCAAGAAUCAAGGAGAAGACGGUGCACAUAGGUACACAUGGUCAAACCAUAUCGAAUGAGACAUCAAUUCCUAUGUAUUCAAAUGGCCAAAUGUGUACCUUGACGAUGCAUAGCCAAAAGGCUCAAUGUACAUUUCGACGAUUCAUAACCUAAGGGCCAAACAUAUACAUUGAUGAUGUAGCCAAAAGGCCAAACUUGUACCUUGACAAUGCAUAACCUAAGGGCUAAAACAUGCACCUCGACAAUACACAACCAAAAGGCUAAACUUGCACUUUAAUGAUGCAUAGUUAAGAGGUCGAACAUACAUUUUUGAUAACGCACAAUCGAAAGGUUGAAUAAUAGAUACCCUCAUCAAAGUCAAUGGUGUUAAACAAAAUGCUUCUUGGGUAUGACCUAGUGACCCCAGAAGUGAGGGACUAGUAAUAGGUAAAAAAUGACAUAGUAAACACGAUGUCAUCAUAUGGUAACACGUGAUCAACAGCCUAAGGCCUUAGCACCAUAUGGUCGACUCGUCGAUCAUUUGAACCCUAUGAUUAGAGACAAUGUCCACGUGUUCCCAUGAUUCGACCUAUACUAAGCCAAUCAACACGAGUAUCGUACAUGAUGAACAUUGUACCAUGAUUUAGCCCAAAAAGUCAUAUGUUCCCAUCUAGCCACUAGUGAUCCCGAACAUAACCAUCCUCGCUGUUACAUAUAUAAGGGACCCUCGGGUGUGCCCUCAACCCAAACAUAGCCAUCCUUAGGGUCACAUAUAUAAAGGACCCUUUGGUAUGCCCUCAUCCUAAAUAAUUUAUUAUUAAUUUUUAAUAUUAUAUGAAUAGUAACUUGGACCAAACCUUAAUCUCAUUCCAACUCGGACAAUUAGAAUCUUCAUUGAUAAUAAGAAAUCUUAAGUUUUCAUAAAAUUUGAUAUUUUUGAAAAAAUAAACCCGAGUUAUACUAUUUUUGAAUGAGAUUAUAUUAUUUUGAAUAGUCAUAAAAAAUAAUUUUAUUCAUAAACAAUGUAACAUAAGGUAAAAAAAAAUCUUAAAACUUUUAAAAGACUUGUAUGGUAAUAUAAAGUGAUUUUGUAGCCAAUUUUAAUCUAGAGUUCAAAAUCCUCUUAAAAUUAGUAACAUAUAAGUGGUCUGUAGCCAAAUUUAAUCUCGAUACAUCUUAAUUUGACAACAAAUGAAAAAAAGAGAAAAUUUCAACCUUUUAAGUAGUAAAUUAAUUAAAAACGAAUACUUUAAAUGCCCAAUUUUUUUUUACAAAAAAGAUCAUUUAUGACUUCAUAAGAUAUUUUUAAGAUUUAAUGAAAAUAUCAGUAUUUUUUUAAAAAUAAUUUUUAGAUAUACGACUUUUAAAGAAGAACCCAAAAAUAUUAUAAUCUCAUUCAAAGCAAUGUAGCUCAGGUUCCCAAAAAUAAAAUCUGAUAAUAUAGUAGUACGUUUAUGCCCUAAUUUGAUCUGGAUUCAUCUUAAUUUGAUAUAAAAUAUAGAAAAUAAAAAUUCUAACAUUCAAGAGAUUAAUGAAGAGAGACAAUGGAUAUAUAUGGAGAAGGAAAGUUUGCAUCAAUAAGUCAAUAGGUCUUGCAGAAGGAAAGUAUCCUUCGAGGAGAGUCUCGUAGAAUUACUUCACCUAAGGAAAAGAGAAAUCAAAAAGAAAAAAGAAUCAAUUCAUCUUGAGCCAAUUGUUUUCUAGUUUUUCUGCUAUAUAGUCGAAUCAUUUUUGGGAUCAAAUGUAUUUUUUAUAUUUUACAAAAAAAAAAUAAACACUCUGCAAAAAGAAAAAUAAAAAAUAGAAAAUCGCCCAAUUUGAAAUAUCCAUCGGGGAGAACGAAUGAAUACUAAUAAUAGAUGAGAAAUUUGACUAUUACCCUACCUUUAUUAUAUAUCUUUGCUGGACUUCCGUUAGUCCAACCCAUCUGAGGGCAAAUGCAUCGAGAUCCGUGCAUGCUGACACGUCAAACCCAUUGGCGCUAUAUUACUUGUCCAUGCAUCAUGAUUCGUGCUCACACAUCAAUCGAGCAGGGGGAAACGCUCGCCCCGCAGGAUAAACCUGCGAUGGCCGAGGCACAACAAGAACCAGGAAUCCAGAGACGGCCAGUUAGGUCGUGAUAAGUGCUCCUCCCUCUUUGAAGUUUUCGUUCCUCUCACCUAACCGCUUUCCCUUCUCUGCUGCCCUCUCUUCUCCAUCGAGAUCUCCGAUCCGUCUCCUCCAAAUCGUGAAAAUUUCCCCCGAUUGUUCCCUCCAAUCUUUCCGCCUUCCCAGCCGAAACCCUCUUCCAUCCAUCGACGCAUCGAAAUCAAAGCCAUGCCCGUCUCUCAGCCUAUCACCGGCGGCUAUCGCCACAGAUAUGCCUCCAAUCGUGGCGCCGUUGGGCCACCCUAUGGGAGGAUCAUCUCGAUCCCUGGCAUCUCCAAUCCUGCCGCUUCUUCCGAUCCCUGCAGGGAACUCCCCUUCCGUAGAAGACACCAAGAUUUUGUUCUUAACGAUCCCUACGCCGCCCCCGGCGGUCCGCCUCCUUUGAAGAGGAGGAGGAUGAGGUCCGAUGGUUUUACGUGGGACGGUCGCGCUGGUGGUAAUAUAGCGUCCACCAGUAGCAGUUCCUUUCUGCAGCCGCCUAGGAGAGGUGUUGAUGCGCGCUACGGUCCCCCAAGCGCCGGACAGAAUCACGCGCCGGUGAGGUCGGAAGGGGAGAACGCUGCUUUCGUGUCGAGGGAUGAGAUCGAAAGGUGCUCUCCGUCUCGAAAGGAUGGCAUCGAUCCCUUGCUCGAGACACAGCUGCGGUACUCCUACUGCUCGUACCUUCAGAAUCUCGGGAUGAGACUCGAGCUGUAAUUUCCUCAUCUCCCGCUAUUUCUUUGACGUCCAGGAGGCUGGACAUAAUGAUAUUAGGAUAGAGAAAAUAAUCUGAUCUUUUAAUAGAUAUCGGUGUUAGAUUGGCGUACAGAUGUUUCCUCGAAGAAUUCUGUUGGUAUUUCCUAUGACAUUUACUUUGGUUUUGCAGGCCGCAAACUACUAUUGGAACAGCGAUGGUUCUUUGCCACCGCUUCUUUUUCCGGAGGUCCCAUGCUUGCCACGAUAGAUUUGUGAGUUCUGGAGCUCUGUUGCCUUGAUUUGUGCUUUUCUGAUGCUAUGUUUUGCUUCUUUUUUUUUUUUUUCGUGAUGCAUCCACUAAUCGUGCUUGAAAUUAGACAUUAGUUAUGGAUUCUAUUCACUGGAUGCACAUUUUGUGCUUCCCGUGUUCAUUCCAUAACAAAAGAUCUUAACUUUUAUUUGCCCCAGUUGAUGUCUUUUCGCUUGAUGGUUCUCUUUGGGAUGCCUUUUGCAUGAGUGAACUGCUCGGAGCACCUGCUGCGCUCCUUGUUUCAUUGUUGCUGUGGCUUCUAGUAUAAUCUACUGAAGUAAAGGAAAUUCCAACACCAAACAAUGUACAGCUUUAUUCUUGUAUGUUGCAGAUUUAUGGACUUUUCUGAAUUAGCAUAUGAGAAAAUUUUGUUUUGCACAAGAUCCAUAAAGAGGGGUCUUCUGAAGUUUUAUUCAGGCUGUGUUAAACAACUAUUAUAAAUUGGAUGGGUUGUUUUGGAAUUUGGUUUCAGAAAAAUAUAAUUAUGACCAGAGACUUCAGUAGGAGAUCUUUGAUUAUGUCAAUUGUCAUAAAACACGCAAUGGCAAGAUUCCAUGAAAUGCCAAGAUGCAAUAAUCCAUAAUGACAUAGUCUUGGUUCUAUGCCAUGUUGCAGUGAUCCAUUUUAAAAAAUUCUGCAAUUGAAUAAACCUACAGAAAAGUAUUAACAUACUUAUGUAUGCUAAUAUAAUACGGUGUUGAAUCUCUUGGAUUGAGAAGUCUCACUGGGUUACUUCUUUGUCAUUUACAUUUUAUUGCCCUAUUAUAAUAUCAAGUUGGAUGGGCUAGUGUUUUAACUCCAUAUUAGAGAGUAUUGGCCAUUUGGUCGUCUGGCUACUUUGUGCCUAGUUUCUUCUUACCUACUUGUUAAGAGUUAAGAGUAAGUAUUCACGAUUAGAAAAUCAAUUACAUACUAAGUGAUCCCUUUGUCUAUUAUUAGUAUUGAGGUUUGGAAAGACCAAAAUGUUGUUUGUUGGAGAUCUAAUGCAGACAUUACAAUGAAUAAUCGAGAUUAUGUUAUAAUUGAUGUUGGAUCAUUCUAGUGUAUUUAUCAUUUUAAUAAACAUCAGUUUAGGGGACAUUUUGCAAAUGCGUUGCCAUUUAGCAACAUAUCCAAUGUUUCUAGUUGAGUUAAGCACAUCUUUUUUUUUCUUAUUCUAGUGAUAUUUCUUAGUUAUGUUUCUUUUAGCAAAUUAGCAUAUUAGCAAACUCUUUUAAUACCCUGCAAUCUUUUCAGAUGAUUGCGACAGCAGCUCUGUUCCUGGCAGCAAAGUCUGAGGAAACACCAUGUGUCUUGAACUCUAUGCUCAGGGCAUCAUGUGAAACUUCUCAAGAACUAGAGCUUUCUUACUAUCCAUACUUGCAUCAUAAGGUAAAUGUUUUGACCUGUUUAUAUUCUGAAUUAUUCAUAAUAAGUACUUGUAAAACUCUUGAGUAUCUGCCAGUCCAAGGAUCCUUGAUGAACUCGAAACUUGCUAUGCAUGUGUCUUAUUAUCAGAUACUAUGGUCACCUUACCUAAAGUAACUUGAAACUUGCUAUGUAUGCGAUGGCCAUAAGAGAAAAUGACUCAACAAUCUAUGGUACGACAUCUUUAUCUCUAAAUGUUAUCUCAGUUUUAGCUUUUAUGCAGAACACAAUUAAGGCGAAUUUCAAAGAUAUUCGUAAUCAGUCGAUUUCUCCAAUUUCGCGAAUUUCUUGAGAGAGGAGAAACUUAAGAUAUUUUAAGCACGGAAAUUAUGAUUUUCCAAAUUUCAGCAGCUAGAAUGACACAAAUCGGUUGAGAAGCAUAAAAUUUCUAACCUUUAUUUGCUAGGAGUUUUUGCAGAAUGAAUUUCUUCCUUUCAGUGCGAGCCCCUCGAUGGCUUAUUACUCGAGCAGAUGUUAUGCAUUCCAAAUGGAUUGCCCAUAACUCCACAUAGAAUCUUCAAACUUUAAAGAUGGCUGGAGGCAUGGUAAAAGAGUUAUAUGGAGUGAUAAACAUUAUCAAGCCCUAGAUUAUCUAGUCCUAGAUUAUGACGCUGCCAAUCCUGAUACCUCUAGGUUAGGAUUACUUUUCUGACACUAAAUGUUUCCUGGGCUUCCAGUAUCAGGAUUAUUCACAAUAAAAAAAAAAUCUUGGACUUGUCAUAGACUAAGCAGGUUGGCUUAAAGAGAUUGGACCCAAAGGCCCUAAAGGUUAGAGGAAAGAAGAGCUAGGCAUUUUUUUGUUUAACUUUUUGGAUUCCGGGGGACCAUCUAAACCAUAUCAUUUAGCAUGGUCUGAGAUAUAUUAUUAAUAUUCUUGAGUUUUGUUCAUUUUCUGAAAUUCGACUUCAAAUGGCUCUAUAUUCUGUGUUAAUUUGCUUAGAACCUCAUCUUUGCAUGAAGUAUAACAGGAUUAUGCAUUGAAGUUCAAUGAUCUUACUGCUAUUACCAAAGUAGCAUGUUUUGUUCAACCACCUGAUACAUAUUCAUUAUGAAUGCUAGCCAAAACUACAUUGUAAAUAUGCCAUUAUUUAAACUGUGUUGUCUUUUUGUUACGCAGGAUUGGUUUGAGCAAUACCGUGAACGGGUCAUUGAAACUGAACAAAAGAUACUAACUACUCUGGAUUUUGAACUUGAAGUGGAGCACCCAUAUGUCCCUCUUGCAUCAGUACUUAACAAACUUGGACUUUCACAAUCUGUUCUUCUUACAGUCGCUUGGAAUUUUGUCAGUGAAGGGUAUGGAUCUUGGUUGUGCUAUUUGCCUAUUGCUUUCGCCAUGUCAACUCAUCUAUUUCAUUUGGAAUGGAAGGUUUAGUUUGUUCGACAAGUAUCGAAUUGAUAUUUUUAUUCAUCGGUACCUAAUGUUAUUAGUUAUCAUACAUUUUGUUUUGGCUUGUUAGUUAUUUCAAGCAUAUGUGUCAAGCAUAAUGUUAUUAGUUAUCAUACAUUUUGAAGUUUUUUUUGCAGAACUGUCCUUUGAUAUUGUUUUAGCAUUGGAACAUGUAAUAGUACUCUCAAUGAUAUCCAAAGUUUGAGAAUUUUCAGUCUCUUGUAUGCAUUAUAUAUAGCGAUUGCUAGAUUACCAUCUUACAAAUGCAAGUCCAUUGUGGUUUAUUGCAUCGUCAGUUUUGUUUUUCACAUUUAUGUGGAAAUGGAGUUCCAUCUGGAAGUAUUUAGGUGAAGCUACUUGUUUGAGUGAUGUUAGUGCACCAUUCUUACAAGCCACUUAUUUAGGUGUUCACCAUAAUCAUUUUAUCAUGGUUUGGAAAUAUUUGAAGCCUUUUUUAAUGGUUCAAGCUCUGCUCUAGCCUUCAAGUGGAGCUUUAUCAAGUCAAAAAAUGAAUCGAGCUUGAUCUGUCCAUUAUCUGCUUGUUUCAAUUGCUAGUUACACUUGCUGAUGUGAUAUAGUGAAGCAAAGCCUCAAUUUAACUUCUUGUACCUUUGAACUUGCAAUGCAGAACUGCCUUAUCAACCAUAGGUCCUUGCUUUCAUGUCUACCAUUGUAUACAAACCUAUUGUCUUGCAUCAUUAUUUGUGGUAAUAAAGUCUAUCAUUCCUUCUUUCGUUAUAUUGAUCUACUUGAACAAGUGUGGGUAAUACUCGGGCACUGUCAAGAAGAUUUUUCUCUAUUGAUUUUUGUCUUCUGGUCUAUUUCCCGUACUGGUCUUUUGAGGUUUUUCAGGAUUUUCCUUAACUUCAUUGCAAGUAGAAUCCCUUUGAAGUUUUCCAUAUUUAACUACCUCCCCAUUCUCCUUUAUUGUUAUCUGCUUCAAGAUGUUAUGGAAGAAAAUAUGUGCUUGAUGCCUAUUUGAAAUAAAUCUUAUCUUUGACAUAUUAACUAAGUCAGACAUGAUCAAUGGUGUGAUAGACACCAUUCAAUGAUACAGAUUAUCUAAAGCACACGUUAACAUUGCUUAUGUCAUUUAUAUAAAUCAGACAAAAUUCUCCUGGAUUUCAUUAGUAUGUACUGCCAUUAUAUGUUAGCAAGAUGCAUGCCUCUAUAUCAUGGGGACGAGCAUGGGUCAUACUUGAUCCAUAGAAUUGUGUCUAUGAGUUCGGGGUUUUAAGUCAUUAGGGGGUUAGUACAAUACAAUUACUCAAGAGUCUUUGACGUUACAGAAGUUCGUUUGUUCUGCAGGCUUCUGUUGAAUGUGGUUCUUAUUUCAAAACAAAAUUUGAGUAAAAUAUGGUGUUUUCCUAAUUGCAAAUGCAAGAGAUUAAAAGACAGAAUUUCCACCUACAUUGAAAAAUCUUUUCCUACGGUACUGGAAUCGAAAGCUCUAUUUCAUUUGUCUUUUUCCUGUGUGUUUUGUGCAUAGUUAUGUGCAGUUGAAUCAUUUUAUGAUAUUUUUUCUUGAAUGACAGAGAUAAGAUGAAGAGUCUAUAUUUUUGUUUUAUUAUGCAAGUCAUCAGAUUAAUGAACUAUUAUUAAAUUAUGUAGUUUAUCAUAAGCAUGUUCUUGCAUCUUGAUAAAUGCAUCACCCCACACUUUCCUGAUAUUCUUAGGUUUUAGGAUAAUUAUGUAAUUCAUGCAUAGAUGAAGUAAUCUAUAUAGAACUGUGAUUAUGGUACAUGAUGUUCCUUGAACUGUCAUUUUAAUCUGUAUCAAACAUUCUGUCUCCAGAAUUUAAAGACCACUUUUUAUGAGUUUGGCAAUUUUAGUUCUGGAUGGUAAAUCAUUUUGAGUAACUUCUUAGGCCUCUGAAAAAGAGGCCUGAAGAAAUAGGCCACAAGCAAGUGAAUGGCUUACAACUCAAACUAGACUAGUUGUUUUUUGUGUGAUGAAUUCUUGGAUUCUAAAGCGUUGCUCCUUUUCUCGUUGCGGUUAUCAAUAUGUUUACUCUUUUAAGUUCAUCUAUUGGAGGUUGUGACAGUAGCAGUCAUGUCUAAUGAACAACUGAAUUUUUGAAUAAUUUGAAAGGAUUGUUAUGGCAGUAUUUUUUUUCUCUUUUUGGUGAUUAAGCUUCUUUUUUUUCUCAUACGGAGACAUAGAUAUCUAUAUGCUAGUGAUGCAUUUUCUGGUUUUCUAUAUGCGUGUUCUCUUGGAACAUUUUUUGGAUGAGCAUGGUUCUAUAUUGACACCAAUAUAUAAACCAAUGGCCAAAUGGGUACUAAUUUUUGCCUUUUUUGUGUCUUCAUGUGGAAUUAUUGUGUGCAAACUCAGUGUUUUAAAAGGGCACCCGGGCGCUUGCCUAGGCGCUCAAGCGAAGUGAGGCGAGGCUUGAGCGCCUCGGACAGUUGUUGAGCAAUGCGCUUCAAUGAAGCACUGCCCGGGCGCCUCGGGUGAGCGCUUGGUUGAAGGCGAGCAAUCGAACCAUAACUUUGGUUUGGUUGAACUGUAACUUUGUUGGUUCAAUUAAACCAACUAAGCAUAAUAAAAUAGUAACAAUAAAACCCCCCGCACGCUCCUCCCUCGACGUAUGACCUAUAAACCCUAGGUCUUUGCCGCCCUGACUCACCUCUGGUUCUGCUAGCCACUGCCUCCACCGUCGAUGCACAGGUCCAACGCUCCUACCGUCGAUGGACGGGUCCGAUGUUCCCACUACUGUAUCUUUCAUGCGUAGUUCCCUCCACCGCCACUGCUUCCAUGUGCAACUCCUUUUGUCGUUGAGGGAUAGGUUCGCAGCUUCCUCUACCACUGAUGGACACAUCUGAAGCUUCCUUUGCCCUUGAUGCCAUCGUCUGUAGCUUCCUCUACCAUCGUUGUCAUUGUCCGCCGCUUUCUCCGUCGUCGUUGUUGCCGUCCGUGGCUUCCUCCGUCGUCGUUGUCAUCGUCGGAAGGUUCCCCCGUCACCACUGCCCUCUCCUUCCCCACGUUCCACCAUUGGUGACACCUUUUCUCUCUCUUUAUUGUUAUGACUAUUGUUAACAGUGGAUUAAAUAUUGUUAACAGUAGAUUGCUAAUCCUUAACUAAUAUUAAAACUAUUGUUACCAUAUAAUAAACUAAAACUGAUAUUAAUCCUUAGAACUGUCGACCUAUUUAGAACAAAUUCUUAUUUAGAAUUCUUAAUCCUUAUUUACCAUUGUUAAUCGCUAUUUAGAUUUGUAAUUAGCCCCUAUUUAGCACUGUUAAUCUUUAUUUAUUUAGAAUUGUUAUUAGGGUUUUAGGAUUAAUGGCAAGUGUGCAAAGCAAUAAGGGAGAUUCAUCAAAAAAUUCAAUUUAAUGUCAUAUUUUUAUUUAUAUAAUCAUAUUUAUCAAUUAUAUUAUAUAUUUUUUAUAUUUUAAUAUUCUAGGUGAGCAUCUAGGCCUCGAGAAAUUGGGACCUUGGAUCCUUUUGGCGCCUAGCACUUUUAAAAACAUUGCAAACUAAAGAAAGCAUGGAUUGACUUAUUUUUGGAUUUAAUGUUUGUGGUAUGCUUUUCUUUGUAGAUCUUUGAUAGUUCGUUUGACAUUUUAUUUUUUGUUUGUUGGAACUCAGGAGUAUUUUCGAAUGUUGGAAUUAUAUAUCUUUGAAUGUUGGAAUUAUAUGGCAAUGAUCUAAACAUGGGUCCGAUAUUGGUUUGACAACCGAUUGGAUUGGCAUACUGGGUAUUAUACCGACUUGUACCUUAGCAUGUUACUGAAAAAUAUAAAAAAUAGAAUAUCAGUCAGUGCCGACUGGUUGGUACAAACCAGUUUGAUUGGUAUUUGAAACCUUAUUACAUAAUUUUUUUUAUCUUUUAUUAAUAUGGUUUUUGUGUCUUGUCCUUGUACUACAAUAUUUCUGCAGGUCAUUUUUUCUUGUGUCAUAUUGAUUGUUUGAUAUGUCAUAAAUUGCAGGGUUUUCUUCACAAGACUAAUGUGCUAUAUGUGAUAUUCUUAGCUGGAGGAUAUGCGUUCAUGCAAAGCACUUUUUGACGAAUAGCAAGAGUUGGACAAAUAUUAGAUGAAAAGUAUUAAUAUGAUUUUGAAUUGGUUAUCACACAAUUAAUGGAUCUCAAGCACUUUGCAUCACGGGAUCUCUAAUUAUUCUUCUUGAUUUCAGAUGCCUGAGAUCCUUUCCUGGUGACUUGGCAAUUAAACACUAAAGCCAGUCUUCCUAUUUUGUUCUUUGAUUUUCAUUUAAUUUCUUGAUUCCUGUAUUAUGGUCAGAUUUGAUAUCAUCGUCCUCCUGUGUCCCUCGAGUCUUCUACUAUCUUUUGUUUGUGUUAUUUUAGUUGCUCACUCCUGUUCUUUAGUGGAUCUUUUCUGUACAGUCCAAUUCUGCUCUUCUCCAAGUGUCAACUUUUAUAUACUAAUCACAAAGUUGAAACUUAUAGAACCAUUUUUUGUUUAUUUUCUCCUCUCUCUCUCUCUCUCUCUCUCUCUCUCUCUCUCUCUCUCUCUGCCUUCUGUCCUUCCAUAACUAACUGGAAUCAGAACCAAAUCUUAUCCCUUUGCAUCUUUUUUCAGCAUGCAAGUUAAAUGAAAUUUUUUACUUACAGACUUAACACAAUGAUAAUAUACCAGAGCCAGCAAUACUCUUAAGAAUAGGUAGUUCUAUAUAUGCUAUAAUACUCUAAGAGAAUGAUUAAGAACAUAACAUUCCUAAACUUUUGUAGCCAACAGUUUGCCAGUGAUGUCCUUUAUUUCUUAUUUGCAUUGAGGUAAAAACAGGUGUUUGCUAUGUCAUCUGUAUGAGUUCCAAACAGCUUCUUCUAGUAAGGUAUCUUUUUAUGCUAGUAAAAAUAUCAAUAUCCUAAAAUAAUAAAUUGUUUCCCAGAAUGUUUCAUUUACUAGUAUGAGCAUUGCAUGGUCAUCUACAGGUAUAUGUGUGUGGAAUUGAGGGUGAUGGUUGACCGAAAGUUGUUAUAGAUCUCUUGGCUUCCCACAACACCAUGGUGAUCUGGAGUUGAAUUUAAAAUGAUGUCUUGCUUAAGUUCAAUAGGCUGAAUCUUGUUCCAACUACUUAAGGACCAUCGGAUGUGUAAAUACACAUCUAUUAAUUGUUUUUGUUCAAAAUGAGGUACCAAUUAAUACUUCAACCUGCUCAUGAUUCUUGGGCAUGCAUUAGCUAUUCAGGGAAGCAUGUGCAUUGGUAUAUUUUUGCAUAAUGCAGGGUAUCUGAUUAGUUCAUGUUUGACAUACACUGAUAAGCAGAAGCUACAAGCAUCCAGGAGAGAUUUGUUUUCUCUCUCUUUGUGUCACAAAUUUCUACUACUUUCCUGAUUGAGUAUAUGGAUAAUGGGAGGGGGAACUUUGACGGGAGCAUUCCUGAGUUCAGGAAUUGGUGCAUAGUUACCAAAGACAUGCUAUAGUUUAGCUCUAACACAGAAUUUCAACUGAAGAUUCUCAGACUAUAUAUCAGCUGGACUGCUGCUUUGAUAUUUGGUAAGGAGUCUUUGGCAUGUAGGCUUGUUUGUUCUGCUCCAUGAUUCUUAUCCUGUCAUAAUUUUAUAUUUGUUAUCUCAUCCGUUUUGCUUAUGUUAAUUCUUGGAGCACGUCAUGUAACUUGGGACACUAAAACAUUGCCACAGAAAAAUGGUUUGGCUAUUAGCUUAUCAUCUUUAGCUUGUUAUUGCCCCUGAUCAUAACAAUGGACCAAUUGUUUAAUCAAAUGCUUAUGGUUUUAUAAUUUUGCAGAUACCGCAGUUCUCUUUGCCUUCAGUUUAAGCCUCGUCAUAUCGCUGCUGGAGCUGUAUUGCUUGCCGCCAAGUGCCUAAACUAUGAGCUUGCUCUUUAUCCAAGUUUUUGGCAUGAGUUCCGGACGACACCAGCUAUCCUUCAGGGUAAUGACACUGAACAAAUUUGUGCUUGCCAUGGAUGACCUUUUUAUAUUCUACCUGCAGGACUUGAUUCAUCUUUGUUUAUUUGUAUGUUGGAGUUGCAGAUAUUGUCCAACAGUUGAUGGAGCUUCUCUGAGACGAGACCGAUUAUUGUGCUUAGAUGUUAUACGACAGGUUUGUAGUAUGGAUCCAUCAGAUUGUAUUAGUUCCAAUGUUCCCCUAUCAAGAAAGAUUUAAGCCUCUAUUUGAUUUUCAGCCAGCUAAGUUUCUCUCCAGUGCUUGCAAUAGUGAUUGAAAUCAUAGUCUUUUAGCACUCAAGUUUCUAAUGUACCACACACUCCUUUUUGUAACCUUUACUGAAGUUAUAAAAAUUUUCUGGUUUUAUCAAACAAUCAGCUCGUACGUCAGGGUUCUUCUGAUUGGCAUUGUGGUCCUUUCUUUGGUUACUAGCUAUCUUUGCAUCUUGCUUUGAUAAUGGAAUGAUGAAUGGAUUUAGGCUUUGCAUCUUUCUUUGAUUAAUAACUUAAUUGGCAUUAAGUUAUUGAUCGAGGUCUCUGAAGCUCAUUUCUUAUAUUCCGUUUUAUUUUUUUAAAAAAAUUGCAUUGGUGUGGGACAUCUCUAGUAUUGAAUAAUACAAUUUUCGUUUUUUGGUAUACAGACCUUAAUGUCCCUGUGAUGGGUAGUUAAUGAAGUAUAUUUUCUUUCUUUUUUUGUUUGGGAGGAAAAAGGAGUGAAUCAUACAGCACUGAGUAUGUUUGAAUGAUGCAGCAGUAAGCUGGUUGGUUGGUCCAAUUGGCAAGAGAUUGGGGAUAUUCUUGGCAUGGCCAAACAAUACAUUUGUUGGCUGCGUAUGCUGGUAACCGCAUGAACUGGUCAUAGGCUUUCAGGAGUUGUUGACGUGCACUUUCUUCUUUACAGAUUGGAAAUUUCUUUGGUUCCCCCAAGGAAGCUUCACGGAAGUGACUUAGGAGUUAUUUGAGAUGGGGGACAAAUAUUGAAAUUGUAUAGUGUCGUGCCUCCUCCUCACCUAGAGAAAAAGUCCAGACACUUGGUGGGAAGCUUUCUGGGGAACGAUAGCAUAGCGGUAACUUUUUUUGUUUUGUUUUCCUUUUUGUCAUUUGGCAGAAAAGCAUAUGAUGGUUAGUGCAAGUAAAUUGUCUUUGCGUUUGUCAUCGUAUUGAUUGUGAUUGCGCAAAUAAUAAGAGCGGAGUGAUUUGUGAAUCUCUCAUUUUUAAUGUGAUCCGACCCACUUCAGAAUCGGAUAUGGAUCGUAACUUCCACCAGAUGAUCCGACUUAGUUGACCUGAUCCGAUUUGAUCUAUUGCUGGAUGGAUGGGACGCGGAUCGAGGUUAACCCCAUCCGAACCCCCCCGUACAUACGUACUUAUAUCAUGUGUCAUGCUCUUUAAUGGAUUGUCAACAUAUGUCCACCGUCAGAUUAGAUGCUCCCACCAUCGCACCCGCCCAUAAAACUAUGGCGAAACCUAAUCCCGCCGUGACAAGCGGGACACCGAGUCCGCCUCCUCCUCGAUCGCACACUCCGCCCUCCCCUGCCCGAUCGUUCGGCAGCAGCACGACGCUCCUCCUCUAUUUAUUUCGUCUCCAGCAGCGCUCCGGCUAGUCUUCUCUGCUCGGAAGAGGGGCUGAGGAAGGAGGAAGAGUCCCAAAACCAAACCAAAGGGUUACUAAUGUCUCACAACCCCUCCCAGCUGCUCCCUGCGGGUACCCGUCUCUAACCCUGAGUCCUUUUCUCGCUUGCAUUCUUCGCUAAACUUCCGACUUAUUUCUUCUGCGUGCGGCCUCCCAGAGCUGAUCGAUCGGUGCAUUGGGUCGAAGAUAUGGGUUAUAAUGAAAGGCGACAAGGAACUCGUUGGGACCCUUAAAGGCUUCGAUGUCUACGUCAACAUGGUCCUUGAAGAUGUCACCGAAUAGUAAUCACUUCAUUCGCAUGCCCUGUAUCGAUGUCUUUUCCCUCUUCUUCUAUGUUGACUACUUAGAAUUGUUUUGGUUAUAUUCUAUUUCCAUGUCAAAGUCCUUGAAGAUGGUCUUGUUUAGUUUUACCUGGUUUUAAAUGUUUAUUUUUUCAUUAACUACAAGUCUCCUUUAACUAGUACUUGUUAGAGGAAUUAGAAAAAAAGGCCUUUAGCAGUCUUAGGGCAGUGUAACCUAGAAAAAUGGGCCAUUUUUUCCCAAAGCUGUAUACCCUACAUGUUUAUCUCUUCUAAAUCUUCGCCUUUGCUGCACAACCAACAUAAUUAUUUAUUGCUCUGAAAAAAUCUUUAAAAUUUAAUGUUCAUAAGAUAUCAUUUAAGCAUCGCAACUUAGGUUCUUAAUACUAUAAUAAACAAUGAUGCUUCAAUUUGCUAGCUGUCUUGAAUACGUGGCCAGUAUGAUUCUUGUAGGAUACCUUUUUGGUUGUACUUGUUUGAAAUAUCCAUCUCUUGUCUAGUUGUUAAAGAUAAUUAUAGGACACUUAUGGAAGCUUCAAAAUGUUUCUUCAUAGCAUCUUGUUUUCCUUCGAUGUUGAAUUCUUUUUUGUCGAUAAGAUUGAUAUAAGAUUAGAUAGGUAACAAUGCUUGUAUUAAGCAUGAGACUAUGCUUAAGGAAAUUAAAAUAGUGAUUUAUAUUGGUAAUGUGUGGAUAUGAGUGUUACUAGGUCAGAUCCAUUUAUAUUUCUACUCAUAUAAAACAAGGCCUAUAGUAUUUACUUAUUCCAAUUGCUAAAUGAUGCUUCUCCAUGAGCAUAAUUUUUUUGUUUUACAUCAAAUAGAGAUCAUAAUUCUGACAGUCUGCAUAGAUGACUUGGUUAAAUGUAUGUACCUAAUUAUUAUAAUUAAAUGAGAAAGAGUUGUUUCCAAUGCAUUUAACAUGAACCAGAACUUCCUCUCCCUCUUUCUCUCUUUAGUCUCUAUUUUCCCCCUCUUGUCCAUUGAUUAAUAUAACCCAAAAAAGAAAGAGUUUCAUGUGUUAUAAUUAACCCUAUGUUUAUAUACUUAUCAUAAUAUCAAUAAUGUUAUCAACAAUAGGGAAGCGUGAGGAACAGGAAAUGUGAAAAAACCCCACAACUUGAAGCUUCUUCCUCUCGGACGAGUUCGUGUGAUUUUGAAUGUUCCACUUCCACAGUUGUUGGUGACCUUAUUUAUCACCAUAUCAAAACAUGCAGUUAGCCUUAUCAGAGUGAUUUCAUUUGACAGAUGUCAUCAAUAUUUAUCCAUGUGAGUCUUUAAGGGUUAUACAAAAUUCAUGAUCUUUGUUUGCAUUGACAGUGCUCCAUAGGGUAAAGAUGUGCUGUCUAACCAUUUAGCCUCUUAAAAAAUUUCCUGAGAUGAUAUUUAGAAUCUCAUUAUCUAUCCGACACUAAUAGACUUUAGUGUAAAAAGGUUCGCCAAAAAUAGCUCACUUGGUAUUCUCAUUCAUAUGAUUUCAUGUAGGUCAUUAUUGCUCAAUGAAAUAUGGGAAAAUCUUUCGCUUUAGCACUUUUAUUAUUGGUGUUUGUUUCUGCCAAAUGUAUCAUAGACCUUAUAAUCACUUUAGGUAAUAGCUCAAACACCUGAUCACUAGAUGACUUCUGUUAGCUGGGCUUGUAAACUCAAAUCGGACAAUCACUGCAACACAAUGUAUAGCUCUAUAAAAUAUAGUCCCAAUACCUUUGAUAUGCAAAUUUUGUUUAUCUUGGGGUGAGUAAAAAGAUUUGCUGGAUUGGGACCAUGUCAAGUUCAUAAUUGUGAGACCAGUUUUUUUUCUUGAAAUGGUUAGAACUUGCAUGAACACAAUUCUAGCUAAAGUCUAGUUGAAGCAAGCUCGUAAGUCCCAUGCAAUUGCUUAUCACUACUAAAUGGCUGAUGAAUUUUAGUUGACAGGCUAAUCAAGUUGAUUGCCAAGUAGGCUACUUAGAUCAGGAUAUUUUUACUCAGUAUUAGCACCAUAAAACUAUGCAUUGACAAUGCUGAGAUAAAAACCUUGAUGGAGACAAAUUUGUUCUGAAGUCAUAUCUUGGGACAAUCAUAUAGCAUCACAGUAGCUAAAUACACAAGUCUGGUUAUUUAUGAACUUUUGAAGGGCAAGAUCGUUCAUCAUUGCUUUAAGUGAAAACUCUUAACAGAUUACUUAUCUCAUGUUUCAAUCUUCUAUCUUCUAGGUUUUCCGAUAUUGUUUGGUGAGAGUAGCAUUAAUCAUGAAUCUGAAUUUUAUGUCAAUUGAUUUUUCUAAUGUCAAAUUGUGUUCAUCUUCAUCCCAUAUGGGAAGUAUACUUUCUCCAGGGGACACUCUACAGGACUGAGCUAUUUUUUGUGAUAGGAUAUGGCACCUGUAUAAGGUUUUCCCAGUUCGAGGAUAAUGGAUUUCCUAAGAAUAAAUACUAGGAAUUUAUUUUUUAGAAUAUUUCAACUUCAGUGCACAAAAAAACAAUAUCCAAGAAUAGCCUGUGAAGCUUACAAUGCACCAUAUAUGGUAAACUAAAAUAUCUUAACGAAGAGUUUCUUCUAUGGAAAUCCUAGUAUCUGAGCAGAUCUGGUCUGAUGGUACAUUUAGAACUCUCUAAACAUGUUUCCUAAUAGCUUAAAGUAUUCUCCCAACCAUAUAUUGACAAAAGUAGGACGCAGAGGUUCAAACACAAUUCAAGAUACAACUCAACUUGAUAUAAAAUAGCAACUAAAAAUAUGAACGGGAGUCUGUUAAAAGAAAAUACAAAGAUAGAAAAAUUAAGAUCCCUUGUCUAAGGCUGGAUACGGUACGACCCUCAAAGGUUGGGCGGGGUCUGGCCACUUUGUAACAAUGUAAUAGCUUGUUUUAAAUUAUAUUUCUGCUCUUGAAUUGAGAAACACAGUUGAUUAUUUGUGUAAAGAUCAUUUCAACUUCUUUCAGUUGGUAAUGUUAACUGUAUUCCUAUUUCAGUGAAAUUACAGCUGAAGGACGUAGGAUAACAAAACUUGACCAGAUACUGCUAAAUGGAAACAACAUCGCCAUUGUAAGCAAUCUUAUGUCCUUUGCUAUUUUACCUAUCAAAUUCUAGUAAUUCAGACAAUUUUCCUUUUAUAUUCAACUUUGGCAAUGAAGAAAAUUCUUUUCUAGUUCUAUUGAACUCUUGAAAUUUACAGCUGAAAACUUGAAACUAUUAUGGAUCUUAUAAUAUCUUGAAACUUAGAUACUAUCCAAUUAAUGCUCAUCAAGAACCUCUAUUUUGUAUUGGCAUUUACUAGGACACUAUUUGGCUGUUUGUUUGCUUGGCAAUGGGGGCAUUUAAAUCUAUACUAUUACAAACUGUAUUUAAUUUCUAUGAGCUGAUCACAUAGUAGUCCAUCAUGUUCUUUUUUUUUUUGUGUUGGAGCUUCAUUCCUUUUCUUGUCACCAUGCAUCAUCUAUGACAGGCCACUUAGUUCUACGGAUUGGAAGGCUUUUCUGGCCACCUCUUUUAUCGAAUUAGGUAUUCUUUCUGUGUAUGUAACUAUGUAUACUGCUAUUUUUCAUAUGAUUUUGUUUAGAAAGGUAAUGCACAGCUUAGAAAGGAAUUAUGCAGUCUGUUUUGUGGUGGAUAUGCCGUGAAAACAACUGAGAAUUAUAUAGUGAGAAUUGAAGAAACUGUUAAAAUCGUCUGAUGCAUGUUAAUUCGUUACUUUCUCAAUCUACAGCAUUGCUAGUGAAUUUCGAGUACAUGAGGAUUCUUUGAUUAAAAUGAAAAAGAAAACAUGCAAAGUCAUUGAAUUUGAUUCUUAGAAGAUGAACAGAACAGAUAAUUUUCCUUUUCAGUUUCAUAGAUUAAUUCAUCUUGCGUUCUUUCCUGUUUUCCCCUGGUAUGUACAUUCUUUUAGCUAUUUCAUUCAUAAUGGAGCCUGGAUGAUGACAUUCUCAAUGUAAGAAUGUCAUAUAAUUGGUUGUACCUAUAAGCUUAUAUUAGUUGACCUUGAUCGAUCUAACAUGAGUUUUCAGGUGGGAUCUGAGAUUUGCACUGAGAAUAAUCACCUGCUCCUAUCAAUAUUAUGAUGCUAUUAUUGGUCUUUCUACUAGCUCAUAAUUGUUUCCUUUUUGUCAAGCUAGAUCUUUGAGGAUAAUUUGCUUGCAUGUUAGGCAUCUUCUAAUAUCUGUUUUCAUGACCAUGCAUUCGAGAAACAAACUUGAUCUCACAUACACACCCAUAAUAUUUUUUCCUUUGCCAUCUCUAACAUCUGGAUAUUAAAUCUGUUGUGCAGCUGGUCCCUGGUGGUUCUCCGGAUCCAGAGUAAGCCGGCAACUUCUAUGUGGAAGUUUUAAUGAAGCAAGCUGAAGCCUUUUAGCAUAUUUAGGUUCACUAAGUUGUCUUAAUAUAUCAAAAAUGUUCAAAGUACACGUUCCAGCCAUUUAGCUUCUGAGUACAUGCACUAGAUAAAUGUCUACUCUCUGUCAAUCAACUAUUUUUCUCCUGAAACUCUAUCUGGACUGCGUUUGAUUACCUGAUGCUUCAUUAUUGAACAUAUUGCUUGCAGCAGAUGGGGUGGCUUAUGUACAAUUCUCUCUAGGCCAUUAGGACUUGCUAAUCUAAUGUUGUGCACGAGAAAUGCCGGACUCAUCUACUAAAAUAGAUCUUUCUUAACACGGUAUAUUGGUACCUAUUUUCUUUCUACUCUAUUUGCAUUACUUGUGUCUCGUGUUUAAACCGAGAGUUGAUGAAUGGUUAUGAUUGUGCGAAGUGACUGGAGAAAUGAUGUGGACCCACUCUUGAGACAUGGAGGAUUACUGUUGCACAUGAUUGCUUUCAGCGUUUAUUGUGAUCUUAACUAGUAGAUCAGGCCAUUGAUUCUUAUAUCAAGGUUUGUAUUGCAUUACAAGGUUUUAAUGUCACAAUGGUCGGAUAUUUAAUAUAGACUCCUCGGAACCAUAUGGACUUCUCUUUGGGCAUUUGACUUACUUGGAACCAUCCUGGAGCUGCCGGAAUCUUUGCGCACAGUCAUAUAUCUAAGAACAACAUUGGAACAUCUUAUUUUCCUAAGUUUUCAAUCAAGGGCAUACUCAUUUGCAAUUUUCUACCGGUCAGUUCAACAUCAGAUUAAUAAUUUUUACAACAUGAAUAUUUUUCUGACCUUCCCCUUUGAUAUGUUACUUUUCUCCUUUCCUAUAAAAGAAACCUCUUUCUUUUUUUUUUUUCCUUCUUACAUGUCUGAAACUUUUAGCCUAUUGUCAACCAUAACAAAGUGCUGCCAAUAAAAGACAAUCGAACUCAGUCAUGGCACCACGACAAUUAAACAAAUCUUCUAAUUGGCAAUUAUCCUAUUCAAGCUUGAUCACCUUACCUUACCCUUCCACCACAAUCUGAGGUCUGGGUUUCAUCUUGUAGUCAAGCUCAAGAGCUCCAAACCAAGAAUUUAGACCCUUUUUUCUCAGAAACCUGAAAAACACAAAGCAUGCUGGUAGCCUUAAAUACUGAAUCUUUAAUAUGGUACUGCAAGAAACAUAAUCACCCAAGAUAGUAUAACCAUGAAAAAUAACUUCAAAUAGUUCAGCUUAUUCGUUUUCCACUUUGAUGCAAACGAUGGGAAAUCAAAACUUUCCAGUAUAACAAGGAUAAACAAAGUCAUGGCAAACAGUUCAAGAAUUAAACUUGGCCAGCCAAAGUCAUCUGUCACACUGAUCAGGAGGUACAACCCGAUAAGAUGGCCCUGUAGCCAUAACAAUCUCUCCAACUGAGCUUUCAGCAUGUGAUGCAAAUGUAUAAGAGAAAGUGCAAUGGCUUUGAACUGGCACAUUAUUCGCGAAUCUUUUGGACACCCACCCAGCGAGCGUAGUCAACCCACCUGCUCAAUAGGACAUUUAGACAUUCAUUCAAGGAAAUACAUGGAUGCUUCAAGAAAUUGACACUCGAGGAGACUCAGGUGAAUUCAAUAACUUACAGCAGGGAUCCCAAAAAUGUGUUUCCUGUACGAACUGCAAAGCACGACGCACUUAGUAAUAGUUUCUGGUUGUGUAGCAAAGGCUCCAAAAUACGUUGUUCUAUGACACCUGCCAAUACUUGAUACCUGUCGAUAAUAGAAUUUGACGCUGAGAAAUAAUCCCAUAAUUAUAAUUCAUGACUGUUAUAUUAUACUCUGUAGCUGGUUUGCAAGAACACAAACCUUAUCCAAAUCUGCAUCUCUUAUCAAAUCAGGUAGGAAUUAUAGCAUGUGAUGGUGCUAUAAGAACAUUGUACUUACAUAUCAAGUAUCAAAGUGAUGGUAAUGACCAUUAUGAAGAUUCAAAAAAGUACACAAUAAAGGAGUGCUAACAUUUAAUUUUUUACCAAGAAAGUAUACAAAGUCUAUAGACAAAGUUUCUUGAGCAUAUGGCAUGCAUCAAUAACAAAAAACAGUAAAUUAAAGUGUGAAAAAAAAGACAUUUAAGAUUAAGUCCUGAGUUGAAAGACAUGGAAAAUAUACUUCUACCAAAUAACAAAGAUGUAACUAUAACCCUAAAUACCAACACUUUUCACCAGCCUUUUAGGUAAUUCAAUAAGCAGCACAUUAUGAAAAUAUUUUGGUGUUAAAUGGAACUAACAGGUCGACAAAUCAGAUAAACAAGAGCAAUUAAAAUAAGCGACUAAGUUUGUAUUCAUACCUAAGGUUGCUUGAAACAGCCAUGUAAACACCAUAGGCAACACUAGUUGACACUAUGGGCACAUCCUCUGCUUCGCCAGCAAAUUCCUUGUCAACUGCCUUCCUUGUUUUGAUCAAGGCAUUAGUUAUACCAGUUCCAAUCUGUAAAUCAUUUAUGACAAUUGUCAGCCAACACAUUUUAAAUUGACUUACUUGACAAUUUUCCCUAAGCAUCAAAACAACUUUUAAACACAGGCCAAACUUUAACAAAAACACAAAUAUUUGUUAUUAUGUAUCAAAAUAUUUAAUAUAUGAGAGAUACUUUCUGCACCAACUUUGUCAAAUACUGUCAAAACUCCACAUCUGCUGUGUGGUAAAAUUCCUUCCAAACAACAUUUUGCUUUUAGAGUGGUCAAGUUCUCAUCGCAAGACCAUCCACCAAUUUUGUCUAAAAGUUGCAUGACAAUAUUAACCAAUUCCUUGUCAAGUUUGUGGUUUUUGACCAAGGGGUUGUGACUUGUGAGAAGCACUUCUCUGCAAUAAAAACUUUUCAUAUAUAUGCUGGUUGACAGCCAUUCUGUAAACUUUAGUUAGGUGUGGUCAUUUGUUGCUCACUAGAUGAGCAGGAUAAAGGGGUUCCGCAAACAACUCAUCUGGUCAAUCACAUGCCAACCCAUGAUAAAUAAAUAUGGUAAUGAUUUAACAUGUAACUCGUGGUCCAUGCAGCAUAAAGUUUAACUUAGGCAUCUGUCAGAAGUAGUUCGGUCAAACACCAUUUCAUGAUAAAUGAAAGUGUAGAAAACACCAAAUUGUUUCUCCAACACAUCCCUUUUUCUUCAGUUAGAAACCUAUAUCACUACCCUUUUGAUUUUUUUUUCCCUCAUAAUGGACCGCUGAUGAAUUUAUUUUCAGAACCAACUCAUUAGUGGGUCUAGUAUAUAGUCCUUUUGGCCGAUGCAAUCUGUUUGAACAUUUCCAUCCUGGUCUUAAGCAUUUUGUAUCUCUUUAGAUGGCACCAACUCAUUGAUUACUGUAUCAAUAGACCACAUUGCAUCCAAGUAUCCAAUCCAUAGUCCUAGAUAGAUGUCACAGGACACAGCAUGCACAGUACUCACCACUAGGGUGCUGACCAACAAAAAUAUGAGUCAACUUUACACUCGAUGGAAUCAGUUCACAAUAUUCCAUAAUAAUAUUGUGCUCUGUGUUGGUGAAGUGGUUACCUGCUGGCUCUUCAAAGUUAUGCAUAAAUUUUCUACUCCAGCAAAACACACUGUUUCCUCGCAGAACAUAAACCCUUUUUCCUUCUGAUAUUUCAUUUGCUUCUUGAUUGAAAAAGCUUAAACUAGCCCGCAAAACUCAUGAUACCAAAGGUAAUCCUUAUGUGAAAUAGGCUUUUCUCAACCUGACAGUUCAUUAAGUGGUCCCAUUUAUGUCAUGAUUCAUCUUCGUUUUGCUUUAUCUCAUGCACAAAGCAACUAAAAAGAUCAAUUUUUUGCAUGUGUCAUUAACAAAAGAAACACAAUGACAUAACUAGAUCAUGUAUAUUAUUGACUUAUAAAAAGAAUUUGCUAACAUAACUUCUUUGGAGGGGUUUCAUUUAUGUCAUGUAUAUUACAGUGAAGUGAUCAUUUAAGCAAGAGAUGAUACAACUCAUCACCAAUGCCACAACUGAGAGAUGCGUGUCAGAUUUACAGUGAGAAGUUUUGAGAGAAUUCUUUGAACCAAGAGCUAGAGCUUAAAUGGGCUGACCUUAAUUAUUUUGGUAUUUACUGCAAGGCCGGCCAAGAUUUGUAAUUUUUCUUUUAUUUCAUUUGCAGGCAAUCUUAUAUCAAAUUCAAACUAUGAGACUAGGCAAUACUGCUGACAAAUUAGAAAGAAGCUUUCCACUUUACAACUAAAGAAGCAAUGAGAUCUUUUGCAUGGAAAAUGGUGAGAUUUACCCAAGUUUAAAAUGCCAAAACAACAUCUACCUACAACACUAUUUUCAUGGUGUUGUUUGGUUUCCAAUCCUUCUGAAAAAUUAUCAUGAUCCUAACUCCUCGUCUUGCAAUGUAACAUCUCAAACAUUGCAAGCAUAAAAGGCAUAAAAUGUAGGCUGAUAAAUUCAAGAACAUGGACAAUCAUGGAGAGAAGAUUCACCAAAGGAAAAUAUCUAAGAGAGAUGGACUAUAUUGUGUCAAGUUCAAGCAGAAAUAGAGGUAAAUUGAAUUACUUAUUAUAAUCUGAAGUGAUACUUAGACGCACAGCACAGACCAUAUUGCUUGUAAAUUGAAUAGAAUUCUGGUGCUUCAAUAGGGAGGGUAAACCUUGCAUGUAAGAGAACCCAUCAAGCAAACAGUACAUCUUUUAAGCAGUGUAGCAGUGUACAAGAUUUUUUAUACAACAUACCCUAUGGCAAGAGUUACCAACAAGAGAACUUCCUAUUUUAUAUUACUCCCUGAGGAUAUCUUUAAAAAACAAUUUAUUUUAUUGGAAAAAAAUUGGAGAGUGCACAACUUCAGUAUUUACUUGCUGAGAAACAAAGAUUUCAUAGCUUGCUGGGAAAUUUAAAUGGAAAAAAAAAGAAGAAAUGAUGCAUGUUCUAUGAAAAUGUCCCAGAAGUGGACAAAUAUUACAUACCAGAGAUGCACUAGUCCCAACAACAAAAAGCUUUGAUCCAUUUCUCUGUAAAAUUGGUAAAUAAUUAAAGGAAUAAUUUAAAUGCACUCAAGCAAAAGGAAAACAACACAAUUCCUAAAAACCAAGCCAAUCAUAACAGACUGAUCAAGAAGGGUUGUUAUUUUACCACAAUGGCACCAACUCUCUGCAAUAAUGAGUAUGAUGUUCCAGCCAAAGCAACCUGGAAAAAGAAUGAUUCCAUUUACAGGGACAGCUAAAGAAAGUACUUUAAAAUAAUCAAUCAAGUACAAAAGCAACAUUCACCUGAAAAGCAUUAUCGGGACAGCUAUAGAAGAACUUCGCAAUGGGUCCAGCAUUGAAUUGAAGAGGUGGUCGUAGAGAGACCGUUGGAGCAGGAAGCCACACGAGCAUGAAAUCAGCAACAAUGGCCAUUACCUAAGCAACAGUAGUUAUCAUGUGAUGAGAAAAAAAAGCCCAUAUUACAUAAUUGAAUCAAUCAAGUUGUAAGUGCAGAGUUUAAAAUGUAAUGGUCUGAGCUUAGGCCGGUAAGCAGACAAAGGUUUACCAGGCAGUAAGGGUAGUAAGGCUCUAGUCCGUGCUUGUCAUCUGCUUGGUAUUUCAUAAAUUCAGACCUCGUACUGAAUUGUAAGAUUCUUGGACUACCACCCAUAGCAUCAUGGUAAGGUUGCUUGUAAGUUGCUUCUUUACAACCUAGUUGACUAAGAUUCAAAUCAUCUGGCCUGCUUGUAAAGGUAAGGCAUACAUUUUUGAAUAUUCUCAAACCCACAUUAGAGGGAAUCUCGUGCACCGAGCCACCCUAGAAAUGAUCCUUGGCAGAAACUUUCAGCCAAGGUUCUCUCCUAAUUCGUUAAGCUUUCACUUCAGAAGGAAUAAAUUUCCCAUCCUUACACAUAACUCAAUCUUUCAUCCUAGUAAGAAAGAAGUCUAACCAUAAUUGUAACAACUCUUAUAUAUACCCUCUUUAUUCCUCUACGUAUAACUAUGACUAAAGCUCACAUGUACUUUUAUAAAUUCAUCAUAUUUUUUUCUAGAAUAACCAUUUAAAUCUCUUCCAAAUAUAAGUUUUUAAAUUAGAGUUAUUCCUUGAAUAAUAUUGUGUAAAUUUUUUCAAGAUUCUUUCUUUGUUUCAUCAUCCAAUCCAACUUGACGAACAUAAGCACUUAUAUUUAAAAUCUCCCCUCCUAAAACAAAUUUUAAGACUAUAAUUUUAUCCUCGAAUCUCUUCAUAUUUAUAACAUUAUCCUUGAAAUCCUUGUCUACAAUACUUAGACCAUUUAUAUUUUUAAUUUUUCAUGUAUACUAAAUUUUAUGACUAGUACAAUCAAUGUAGAUCUUUCCCCUACCCACUUAGCCACAUGUAAACAAAUAAUAUUUGUUCUUCUAAUCAUUGUUUCUAUCUAUUCUAGCCCCUUUCCUAAAAGUAUUCCUAUAUAACCAAUGAUUUAAAAAGUGCUAGGCACCACGUUCCCAAAAUACCGAAGAUGUCCUAACAUCUAAAAUAUUAAAAUAUAAAAAAUAUAUAAUAUAAUUAAUAGUGCUAAAAUCUAAAUAGGGACUAUUAUAUGAUGAUAGUAGUUAACAAUCUACUGUUAAUAGUAUUUAAUCCACUGUUAAAGUAGUUAGAGGAGAGAAAAGAAUCACCGACGAUAGAAACUGAGGAAGGAGAGGGUGGCGGUGACGGAGGAACUUUCGAACGACGAUGGCGGUGAUGGUGGCCGGGGAAGCUGUUGACGGCAAUAGCAACGGCAGAGGAAGCUUCGGAUGACAACGGCAACGACGACGGAGGAAGCUGCAGAUGGCAGUAGUAGCAACAAAGAAAGCUUCAAACGACAGCAGCAACGACGUUGGCGGAACCUACAGACGGCAACGUUGUGGGCAAAGGAAGCUUCAAAUGUAUCCGUCAGUGGCGGAGGAAGUUGCAGUCCUCUCCCUUGAAGGUGGAAGGAGUUGCACACGGAAGCAAUGGCGGCGGAGGGAACUACUCACGAAAGCUACACCUUCGGACUCGUCUGUUGGCGAUAGAGGAAGUGUCGGUCCUAUGCGUCGACGAUGGAGGUAGUGGCUACACUAGGGUUGCUCAAUGUUAGGGGUGGGUUUUGCAAGUAAAGUAACUUUAUGUAGCUUAGUUGAUUCGAUCAAACCAACUAGCUACUGUUCAACAGAACCAGACUUAACAAUCUAGUUCAGUUGCAUGGUUUUCUUUUGAAUUUGAAUGCUUUUACAUAUUUCUUUCCAGACAACGAUCAUAGAGUUGGAUGAAUGCAUAUUCAAUCAUAUGCCAUAUCUCUAUGCUUCUAAUAAUCAUUUGAUAAAUUUACUUGUGAUUUGACUUUUUCCUACUUCCAAAUAAGGGUUUUACAUCAAGCAAACAAAACGGAAGAGAAGAAUCAUCUUUAUAUCAAACAAAGGAAGAAAAAACCCACUACUUCCAAACUUGUUCUAUAAAGCUUUUUUUUUAAAAGAAGAAUAUGAAGGAAUAGUUCAAGUAGAAGCCAUACCACAUCCGCAAUAACAAAAUCUAAUUCCUUGAUAAAAUUCUCUCUCCGACGUUCCCACUCUGCAGCCGUCUGAAGAAGGUAAAUAAAGUAAAAAAAUUUAUAAAUGAAAUGUGUAAUAAGUAUAAUAUCAAUCCAAACAAGCAAAUAUUCAAUUCCUCCACAUGAACUCAGAAACUAAGACAAAAAAUUUAAAGUAAAUAAAAUCACAAUUCAGGUGGUCUACCUUGCUGUCAAAGAAAUAAAUUGUUUACUGAACUGAGAAAAUGUCACUUCAGCAGUAAUUAAGCAUCAUAAUGAAGUCUAAAAAACUGUAUUGAUAGAAGUAUAAUUCUAAUUACCACUGAUUAAACACGUUGGAGAUAAAAAUUAUAAAGUUUGCAGACAAAAGUUACUACUUGUAGUCUGGUUCAACAAUUCAAAUACAAAAACAAUUAGAAGUCGCCAACAAUUGAACAAAUAAAAUCACAGAAAUUCAAGCUUAGAAAGUAAAUAUGCACUUUGUUGCAGAGGAUGAAUGAUGCAAAACCAAUUUGGUUUUUUUAUUUGAAUAAUUUUUGUUAGUUUAGGGGGAUUUCAAGUAUGUCAUAAGUUGCCACAUGGCAACAUAUAAAAUAUUUCUUUUUUUUUCCUUAGAAUGAAGAAAAGAAAUAAAGUAAAUAAAGAAAAAGAGACAAGUAUAAAAAAUUGACAAGGUGAACCUGAAAACUUACCUUCUCCAUUGUAGGCCAAAAAAUUAUUUGACCAGCAUAUAUGAUUUUAUUUUCUUUCUUAUUAACAAUUUCCUCUUUUCUUAUGCUUAGGACCUAUGAAAUGAGGCCAGAAUAUUGUAAUCAAAAUAUCAAAGAAUAGAUCAAGAAAUUGAGCUCUUUCAUAUCAUAUGUGAGCAGAAUUUAUUUUUCUAAUGGUAUGAUUCCAUUGUCCAUGUAUGAGACAUACGGAUGUGUAAAGCCUUCAUCUUGAGUGUUUUCUCCUUAAACUUUUGCAAGUUUGCUAGAUAUCCUUUCUUUUUUGUCAUCCUUUCAUUGUUAUCUUCAUCUUCCUCUCCUUUAUUCCUCUAUUAUCAAAAAAAAAAACCCAGCUGCUAGUUGUUUGCAUCAUCUGACAUCUAUGACACGACAGAUUAGACAUGAUCUGACAACAUAAUUUGCUAAAAUCUGAAUCAGAAGCAAGAGUUGUCUGAAAAAAGAGGAUUAAAUCACGGGCAGCAAGAUAAAAUCCAUUUUUUUCCUGGCCCUCUGCCUCUGUUCUAUUUAUUCUACUCCUGUAUUUCUCUCUGUCUCCUACUAAAUUUCUUGUUAUUAUUUUUUUAAAGCAAGAGUUCAUGUUAUUCUUCCCUGAUUUCUGAUAUAAACCGACUCCAAACAAUACCAUAAUUUUAGCUACAUCACAAUCUAGUUGAUCCCAAUUGGUCAUGUGUGGUAUAUUCUUAACUCGUUAUUGGGUUAUUGAUUUCGCUUGUGCAAUCCUGUCUAGUAGUAGUCUGAAUAAUCCAACCAAAUUCACCUGGACCACCUACAACAAAGUCACCUCUAGAUAGCAAGAUUGCCUAAUGUGUAACUAGGCCAAUCAAACAACUUGUGCCCCUGAAAAGCUUAGAAAUACAAAUUGACACUUAAACUUACAUGAUGAAAUUAUAUAUAAUGUUUGAUUGAACUAUGGCAACAUCAGACAAGAUUGUUGUCUUUUCUAAAAUGAGGUUUGGGCAACCUGAAGAAAACAUUAGAUCAAGACGCGAAAACAAAGAUUAAAAUACCUUCUGAUUACAGAAUAUAUGACAAUCAAACAUCUAACACCAAAGAUUCUUUAAUAAUAAAAGAAAACCUGAAUGAAGAACCUUACUCAUGGGGCUCAUUCUGUAAAUUUCAUCCAUUGGGAAGGCAAAGAAGCAAAAUCAAUUAAAUUAGACAGAAAACUCUUUCCUUGCUGAUUUGUAAAGCUUGAUGUCAAACAAACUACUAUGACUGAAAAAAUGCUGCGUACCUAUCAAUUGAAUUACAGAAACCAGCCCAAUCUUGAAAAGACAUGAAGGUCUGGAGUAAGAUGUGACAUCAGAUUCAAAGGGUCCAAUACAUCGAACACUGGCACAUCAAUUGAACAAGUCAUGUAGAUUUGAUGAGUUGUAGCAAAAGUGAACUUGUAUAAUUUAUGCCCAAUUAGAUUUAGAAAGAAUUGUUGAUUCAUUACAGUCAAGAUCCAUUGUACUUUCCAUCAUUUUUAGUAAGGACAUUCUUCACCACAUUCAUGGCUGUUUGAGAUUUAAUUUAGGAUUACAAAUAAAGAAGAAAAUAACUCUCUGGAUGAGUUCCUGUCCUUUAUUAAAAAGCCCUAAUGAUUCAGACAAGUUCUCCAAAAAUAUUAUUCAUACUUAUAAUAGAAAAUGAGGCUAUUUUCUCCCUUAUAGAUCUCUAAUUAGACAUGCAACUAAUAUUAUGCAUAAAGAGGGAGCACAUCACAUGGUAUUCGAAUGUUGAGAUGAAGCAAAGAAACCUGUCAUAUUUCUUCUCUCUCGUCGACUAAAUUUUCUGGUAUUCCUACCUUAUGUUAUUGACAAAUAUAUGACAGCAUUAAAUAUCAACUAUGUAUCUGUGUGAUCAGCUUAUACUAGCAAAUAUCAAGUAUCUUCCUAAUUCCCUGCUGCUAUCUCCUGCAGAAACCCAUGCAGUAGAAAUCAUUCAAGGAGUUCCUAUGGCCAUUUGUACCAUUGUAAGAAGACCAAAUCCAUCGUUCUUCUCUUUGUAUACAUAAGAAUAAUGGAAUGCAAUUUCUAUGCAAUACAACUUAUUUAUUGAGUAAGCAAUAAAAAAUGAAAAAAGGGCAAAUCCUGCUAGCUUACUCUAAAGAAAAACCCACAAGUUCAACCACAAAGAAGACCACCAAAGACACAACACUAAACUUUUCAUUAUUCAAAAAGCCCAUUCGUCUUUGACCCACCAAAAUGAACCGCAUUAGUUAUCCGACUGAAGUGCAAGUGAGACAAAAAAAGGAAAGAAAAAAGACAUCAAAGAAUUUUUUUACUGCACCUAUUUACAAUGCAGAAAGUAUUAAGGAACGAAUGAUUACCGCCUAGUGACCUAUCCUUUCAGUCUAAGUUAGAACACAAAAAAUCAGAAUUUUGCCAAUUGAGAAGAGACCAAACCAGAUUGAGGAGUAUAAUGUCGAGAAGAUUAACAUUAGAAUAUACAAAUAACAAAAAGUUAGCAGCAUGUUAAAGAAAAAGCCUAUAUGGCUUACAGAAUGAGAAGAGAGAAAUGUAAAAUCAGCAAAACAGAGAAAAAGAACGUACUAGUGGAAGCUUCAUUUAGAAGACUGGAGGACAAAACGACAUCAAAAAAGACAAAAGAUGUCUUAUCAGUCUCUCAGUUGUAAAUCUUUUUUUUCUAGAUCAUUAAUUAACGAAACCAUGUUGAGGAAGAAUAAAUGAAUGGUGAAACAUUUAAACGGCCAUCCGAAGAGAAGGGAUAGAGGAAGGACCUUGGUGAAGAUACCAACGCCACACUCCAUAGCGACCUUGGCCAAGAAGAGGUCGUCGGCCAGAAGCCGCUCCUUGAACCCUCCGAACUGGAGCAGCCAUCGGAAGACCGGCGACUUCUCGAGAUCAAAGAAUCGCUGCACGAUUGACCCAGGGAUCCGCCCGGAUUCGAUCGAGGCCGCCAAAUCGUUAGGGAGGCUCUCCAACGUCCGGCCGGCUUCCGCCAGCACGAGCAGCGCCUCCGAACGGUUCUUCCGGCCCGAGUCCCCAUCCUCCCCCCCGUCACCACCACCGCCGCCUCCACCUCCACCAUCACGUCCUCCGACGCCUCCACCUCCGCCGGAUCGGACGGUCAGGGGGCGACGGGCGGAGAUUCGGAGGCAGCGGGGAGGAGGGACGGGGGAGAGGAAACGGACGGUGACAAUCUGCGUAAAGGGGUGAGAGGGGAGGCGGCAAGAGAGGGAGGAGGGGAGGCGGCGGUUGGAAGGGGACGCCACGCCGGAAGCAGCGGCCGCCAUGGUCGAGUCAGAAGUGGGCGAGUAAUGGCCGUUUCGUUUGGUGCAGGCGGGCGAACGAACCCUUCUCCACCUUUAUGCCUAUAUAUAGUCAAUUUUAAUAUAUUAUUACUCCUCAUUUCGCUGGCCUGCGACGGGUUGGUCGCACCAAGCGGUGAAAGAAAGCCGGCAACGUCGGUGCUAAUCGUGACCGACUCAGCCCUGAAUCCGAUUAGGGUGAUGUGCUCGGUCAAUUAGCGAUGCGUGGCGCUCGCCACAUCACCACUGGAAAAGUUCUCCGCCUUGAACCACGUUCGUGCCAUCUCAUGUUUGGUACGACAGGGCGGUUGGUGGAAGGAAAGCGAUCCAGCGAGAGUGACCACAUCCACAUAUGGCUUCAGUAAUUAAAGGUUUCCCAUCCUGGGACCGACAGCCAUAAUGUUCCAUCUCCCCAAAGUUUAGACCCAAAAGUUUUCUCACCCAUCGUGGACCUCACAAGCCUGAUCCGUGGAGCCCACAAGAGAGGAAGCCACGUAAGAUAAGGAAGGUUUUGGGAGUGUGCGUUAGUAGGCGUAUCAAUCCUCACGAGGGGUUCACAAAACCUCGGUGAACGUAACACCGAGAAAGCUAAACCCGUCUGUAGCAAAAAGAGUACGGAAGAUUCAUAUAGUCAGAUGCAGAUUCAGACUCGUUUCAUGUGGUAAAUGUAUGUCACUUCACGGAGGAAAAUAUAUUUGAGCGUUGUUGAAUUAUUACCUCAAAUUUAUUUAAAAUAUUUUUAAAUCCUACAAAUAAUAUUAAAAAAAUAAGGUGACGAAAGAAUAAAAAAAUAUUUUAAAAUAAUAAAGAAUUGGAAGCCCCACGACUUUCGAAUAUUAUUAAGAAUAUUUUACGUCUAAUAAUAACUUAUUAUGAAUGAUCAUAAGAUCUCACAUCUAUUCCAUGAAAUAAAUUUAUGCUACAUCGUAAGAUUAUAUGGUUCUAUUUAAUUAAAUAAGAUAUAUUAUAGAUAUGAUUGGAUUCUGAUUAUGGUUAUUGGCCUAACAAAUAAACUCUAUAGCAUUUCGAAGAAUUUUUGGAUACGUUUGAAAAUAUAUUUUUAUUUUUAAUAUGCAUCUGGACAAAGAAUUUGGGUGGAUGUACAGUUCUAAAAUACUUUGAGUGCCUGAUAAGUAUUAGAUGAAAACUAUAUUUAAAAUAUAUCUUAACAUAAAUAUUAUUUGAUAAAAUUAUAUUUAAAUUUUUAUUCGAUAUGAUGUGAUAAUUUUAUCUUUCUAGUGUUUUUAAUAUUUAUUUCAAAGAUGAAUGCAUAUUUUAUUUAAAUUAAUAAGUAAAUAAAUAAAAUGAGUGGAUGUAUGUAAUCUUACAAAAAAAACAAUUAUAUGUCCUAAAUAUAUAAUAAAUAAAAAAAUCAUAAUUAAAAAAUAAAUUAGGUUGAAAUUUAAAAAUUUUAAUCUUAUGACAUAUAAAUCAUAUUUUUUAAAUUUUAAAACAUUAUAUUAAUUUUUUACAAGUGUUGAACUGUUAAUGCUACCCGAGGUAGUAUCAACAUUUGAGCAUUUGUAAUGUAAUAAUUAGACUAAAUACGAUCUAAAAAGGAUUUAUCGAUUCAUAUUUGAAAUGUAGAUUAGAUCCUUAAUGCACACCUAAUAUUUGAAAUGCACAUUUCAAAUGUAUUCUCGAACACACCUAAUAUUUCCUAUCGAUUUUAUUAAUACAAUUUUUAAAAUUAUUUUGAAAAAAAAAAAAAGAAUCAAAAGUCUGAAUGUAUCACUUUGGGUUUUUUGUUUUCACACUAAUCAAAUGAAUAGGCAUGGCCGACAACAAUGUGUGACAACAUAAAUUCGAGGAAGAAAAAAAAAUUCUAUCGAGAUGGGAUUCAAUCCCACUUUAGAGAGCAUAUUUAGUAGAAUAUUUAAGAGAUUCCAAUCAAAGCGAUGGUUGCUAAGAUGAGCUUUUUGUCGUGCUACCUACAAAACGAAUGGACAAUCUAGUUUGCAAAUAGAUUCUCCAUUCUCUUUAGGAAGUUUAGUUCUUAGCUUGUCCCAUGACAUAUUUGCACUAUGACCAUACAAAUUAAAUAGUAUUAGUUAAGAUAAUAACAAAUAAGAGGGAACUCUCGUGUAAGGGACUCGUGUUGAUACGUUGAUUAAAGGAAAAUAUUAUAAACAUAAAAUUUGUGAUAUGUUAUAUGUAAUGCAAAAAAAAAUUUAUAUCAAGAUUGAAAUCAAAUAAUAUUUGAUCAGAUUUACGAUAUGUACAUUUCAAUGUCAUCGAAAAAGAUUUUGGUGUAAUAUGUAAAGGCAUUAUCUUCCAUAUCCGAAUAUCAUAAUAACAUUUAUCUACAAUGAGAACUAGACACUCAUUUUUUUCUCUUUAUAUAUUUUCACAUGAUCAUUAUUAUUGAUAGUUUUAGGAGGUUGAGAGAGAAACUAUAAUAUCUCAACAGCAUCUUCUAUAACAUGCAUCGUUUAAUCCUUAGAGGUUUUGUUUAUUUAUAGACGAGAAUAAAGAGUCUAUGAUAAGUUAUUAGGAGAGUUACUUCCAUCAAUAACAUCUCCUAAGAAAUUCUAUUUAUAAUAUAUAUUUUUUAUUAAUUAAUAUAUAUAAUUAGAAUUUAAUUAAUUAUAUUAUAUAUAUUAUUUUAUUAUAAAAAUCAUAUAAUCUAAUAAAUACAUAAAUACGAAGUAUAUAAGUGGCCCACCAUCGACUGAGAUUCAGCUUUAAAAUUAAAAAAAAAAAUCUACCUCCGUUUGAUCAUAUUUUGGUUCCCACUCAUCUAAAAUUAGGUUUAGGGGUCCCUUUAGCAAAGGAGAUUACAUUCUUUCUUUCUUUCCAUACAUUUUCCAAGAAGAUUUAAUGAAGGAAGUCUUCGACAAAAUUAUUUAACUGCAUGAAAACAGCUUUUGUUCUUAUGACGAUUGCUAUUUAUAAAUUUAGAAAGAAAGAUUUUAUUAUUCUUAUUAAGAUAGAUAGAUCAUGGAAAAGCUUAUGAACUACUACAAUUUUUUUUGUAUGCUUGAAUCUGCGUGUUUAUAUGUUUACUUAAUUGGCUUUAUUUUUACAAUCUUAUAGGUUAUUUUAUACAUUAUUCCGAUCAUUGGAUAUUUUCCUUCAAAACUAAUCGAAACCUUAUAAUCGAAGGCUUUGGAUGUCCCACCAUCACACGCUAUGGAUUAAUUGGUUCACAAACGUGUGAACCACUAUCUAUCACACGUUUGGCUCAUCCGAGAAAUCCGAUUCAAACUGCUGUCUGUCUUUUUUAUGUCGAUUAAUCCGUAUACAUCACCUUUGAUUUCUACAAGUAUUCGAGUUUAAAUCAGACUAAUCCCUAUUAUUAUACGUAAAAAUGUUUUCAACGUUUACUAUACCGACAGCUAAAGAGACGAGGCAGUCGUUGGGUUUGGUAGGACGCCCACUUAAUCGAUUCGAGUCAAAUGGGUAAGAAUAAUAAUAGCUAAAACGUUACAUCGCGGAAUCUCCAUGCGGAAAUCGAGGUGGGUGGGGGUGGUAGAGCGGUCAAAGAAACGUUCCCCAAAGAAAAAGUAUAAUCAACCAUAUCUUCCGAUAGGAGUACGUGAGAAGCUUAUGCAUCCCACCCACACGCGAGAAAAAGGUGCAACUUUCCCUUUCUCUCUCUUCUUAUUUGGUGAUCAUGAACUACAAUUUUUUACCUUGGGUUAAUAAUGGUGUUUCUCUCUCUCUCUCUCUCUCUUAUGAACCUACUUAGAUCAAAUUAAAUCAUAUCAUUCAUUGUUCGAGAUGCCUCUCUCUAGCCUCAUCUACAAUUGCUCUUUUUCCUACUAAAUAGUAGCUCACGAUAUCUAAUGGACAACUACUUCAGUCAAUAGGAAGUAGUAGGAGGAAUGUCAACGUCAAUGUCGAUGUGCAACUAGAAAUGUUAUUUCUCAUGGGUAUUGAUAUGGCAAAAAAUGGCAGACCCAGCACAGCCGGACGGGACAGAAGCAGGUAAUGGUUGAAGCUCGCCCAUACCCUGCGAUCCCCCGAUCUCCCACGCAACCCCCUGAGCAACACACUGCCCGAGGCUCUCCGUACCCUGCAGCAGCUCGGCCUCCCACACAACCCCAGCGGUAACAUCAAACCUCCUAUAUAAACACCCCUGAGUCCUAAGCAAAAAGGGGGGAGGAACUCUCUCGGACACAACACUCAGAGGCUCUUCUUCUGCCUCAUCCACAGACGGAGGUUUCUCCUCCUCCUAAACCCCCUCCGCAUCUUUCUCUAACUUGAUCGUCGGAGGGGUCGGGUCGAGCACCCCGGCCCGACCUGUGUGCAGGUGCGAGACGGUGUCGCCUCUUCCUGGCGCUGUGGCGGAGCUUCUUCCCGACCGGGACGACCCGACCUCCCGACCCGAACCGCCAAGCUUGUGGCGGAGCUUCUUCCCGACCGGGCUCGGCUGCUGGGAGGCCCCGAGGAGCGCCCCCAGAAAGAUCCCCGUCAUCCGGACCCGAACCAAGCCGCGACGGCCCCGAGACCACGGCUAAAAAAGUUACUUACCGUAACAGG
rnacentral:lncRNA from 1 species